rnacentral:rRNA from 1 species
UACGGAGGGUGCGAGCGUUGUCCGGAAUCAUUGGGCGUAAAGGGCGCGUAGGUGGCCCGGUCAGUCUUUGGUGAAAGCGCGGGGCUCAACCCUGCGUCGGCCAGGGAUACUGCCGCGGCUGGAGCACUGUAGAGGCAGGCGGAAUUCCGGGUGUAGCGGGGGAAUGCGUAGAGAUCCGGAAGAACACCGGUGGCGAAGGCGGCCUGCUGGGCAGUUUUGCUGACACUGAGGCGCGACAGCGUGGGGAGCAAACAGG